GAUGAGCGCUAGCGGCAGGCUUAAUACAUGCAAGUCGUGGGGCAGCGCAGUGUAGCAAUACAUGGGCGGCGACCGGCAAACGGGUGCGUAACACGUACGCAACCUUCCCGUUACUGGGGAAUAGCCCAGGGAAACUUGGAUUAAUACCCCAUAUUAUAUUGAUUGGGCAUCUAAUUAAUAUCAAAGAUUCGGCGGUAACGGAUGGGCGUGCGGUUGAUUAGGUAGUUGGCGGGGUAACGGCCCACCAAGCCUACGAUCAAUAGCUGAUGUGAGAGCAUGACCAGCCACACGGGCACUGAGACACGGGCCCGACUCCUACGGGAGGCAGCAGUAAGGAAUAUUGGGCAAUGGACGAAAGUCUGACCCAGCCAUGCCGCGUGGAGGAUGAAGGUCCUCUGGAUUGUAAACUUCUCUUUUCUGGGGCGAGAACCGAUUUUUCUAAACCAUUUGACAGUACCAGAAGAAUAAGCACCGGCUAACUCCGUGCCAGCAGCCGCAGUAACAC
rnacentral:rRNA from 1 species